rnacentral:tRNA from 1 species
UUUUUGUACUAAAAAGAUUUUGAAAGUCUUUAUAGGAAAACUUUUCCGCAAAGUG